AGGUUAGCAUACUUCAGGAUUAUUCUAAGCCAGUGACUUCUGUGCCGGUCCCGAGCACAAAUAAAUAGGGGGGUUGGGUCAGGAAGGGAAUCCGGCGUAAAAACUUGCCAAAACAACCAUACGAAUCAUUUUCGCAACGACCCCAGAUGGGAAAGCCAAAAGCAGGACUGGAGACACAGGAUGUGCCUAAGGUGAGGCCAGGAUAAAAGGUACCACGGAGAGACUAAUCCCUAUCAGAGGAAGGACAUAUAUAGGAAAUUGUCGUAUUUCAAACUGGACUUCUUAUUGGCAUCCUGCAAAAUACAUAGCAGUUCAUCGGGAUCAAGGGGACACCAAGGCUACACGGGGCAAAGUCCUGUCUAAAAUAAGAGGAAAGAUCAUUCAAAUAAAGAUGACAUUAGUCAACCCUCAUGUCUCCAGUCCAAUAAUGAAACUAUUGGACUUUAAAUGGGACUUUAUAUAAGCCAAACAUCCAUUCUAUCUGUUUCAUGUUAGCCAUGCACGUACGUUCUUCUUUGGAUAUUCAUUCACAUGAAUUUCUCUUAUGCAUUUACAUGUUUGCUUGGUCAAUGACCAAGUCAUUCAAUUUGUCACUUUUUCACAAGUACUUUGGUUAUUCAUGUACACCCUAAUUCUGUGGUGUCCAAUCCUGCUCCUCAAAGGUCAUUGUCCUGAGACCAUUCAAACUCUUCCUUCCCUACACACUGUUGAUCACCUGGAUCACCUGGUGUGUUCAGCCAGUCAGAGAGAGUGCAGUGAUGAUUGAAAAACAACUAGGACAGUGGCCCUUGCUGAGCGGGACUUGACAACCCUGCCUUAAGUAUUGCACUCAGCCACUUUUUUUUCAUGCACAGUCAACAAAAGAAUUUCCCCAUCGUGGUAUUAAUGAAGUCUUAUAUUAUCCCUCUGUGACAUGUGGGGUAUGUCAGAAAAAAAUAUAUUAUUGGUCAUUAUCACACUUGUUAUAAUGUCAAUACGAAAUUUGUCCUAUGCAUUUAACCCAUCCCAAUGGGGAGCAGUGGGCUGCCAUGCAGGGUGCCCUGCACUGUUUGUGGCAGCACAGGUAGGUUAAGUGUUUUAAGAGUUAAUUUAGUGAUUGUUCAGAUAAGAUAAGUUUAUUAAAUUUUAAAAUCAAAAAGCUAAAGAUUUGUAAUGAGAUUUUCUGGAAUGAUGACUAACUUAAAUACCGGUUGUCCCUGGGCCAGCCACUUACAGAUGCUUUUACUGAUCCAGUCGGCAGAUGAGCACCCAUCUCUCAAUUAUCCAAACUUUAAUUCUCUGAAUUGUUUUUGUAAUUUGUAGAAUCUUACAUGCCUCUUUUUUUGUUUCUUUAUGUCUUUAUAUGACAUUGAAACCUCAAGAAAUGUGCCUUAUCCUGUAGUAUACACUGAAAGUCAUAAGGUGGCAGUAUGCGCUGGUUGUGACGAAUCAACUGAUAUGUCAUGUUUGUUAAACAUAAUCCGAAAUGAUUUGUUUGUCAGUUUGCCAGUGUAGAAUUGGUUUGAUUCUUAGAUUCCAGAAAAAGACAAGUAAAAUAAACCAACUACACUUUCUGGUCUGAGACAAACCAGUAGCCACUGGUUAGUUUAGAGAAGAAACAAGACAAGCAAUCCCCACAGUCAAGGUUUCUAUUUACAUUGUUUACAGAAUAUGAUCUUAAUGAAUCGCUUUGUCUCUCCCAUCCUAAUCUAAAUGAAGCAUUUGAUCUUCAGCUGAACUGUUUAGCAGCAAAAACAA